GCGGAAUUGGUUUAGUGGUAGAAUGCGACCUUCCCAAGGUUGAGACACGGGUUCGAUUCCCGUAUUCCGCA
rnacentral:tRNA from 1 species